rnacentral:rRNA from 1 species
CGAACGUUCCCUUCGGGGGGCAAGUAGAGUGGCGUCCGGGUGAGUAACACGUAGGUAAUCUACCUUUGGGUGGGGAAUAACAACCGGAAACGGUUGCUAAUACCGCAUAAUGCAGCGGCAUCACAUGAUGACAGUUGUUAAAGCGGGGGAUCGCAAGACCUCGCGCCUAAAGAGGAGCCUGUGGCGGAUUAGCUAGUUGGCAGGGUAAUGGCCUACCAAGGCGACGAUCCGUAGCCGGCCCGAGAGGGCGGUCGGCCACACUGACACUGAAAUACGGGUCAGACUCCUACGGGAGGCAGCAGUCGGGAAUUUUGGGCAAUGGGCGAAAGCCUGACCCAGCAACGCCGCGUGAAGGAUGAAAUCCCUCGGGGUGUAAACUUCGCAAGAACAGGAAGAAUAAGCCCGUGUUAAUAGCACGGGUGAUGACGGUACUGUUUGUAAGCUCCGGCUAACUCCGUGCCAGCAGCCGCGGUAAUACGGGGGGAGCAAGCGUUGUUCGGAUUUACUGGGCGUAAAGGGCGCGUAGGCGGCCAGUGCAAGUCAGUUGUGAAAUCUCCGGGCUUAACUCGGAAAGGUCAACUGAUACUGCUCGGCUAGAGUGCGGAAGGGGCAACUGGAAUUCUUGGUGUAGCGGUGAAAUGCGUAGAUAUCAAGAGGAACACCUGCGGCGAAGGCGGGUUGCUGGGCCGACACUGACGCUGAGGCGCGAAAG